UUUUUUUUACGUAAAACAAAAUCUGAGAACGCGACACCGUUCGCAUUCAACAUCGCUCUCACUCCGAUCAUACUAAGUUCACGAUUUUGCUCCGAUCUCACUCCGAUCAUGCUCUGUUCAGGAUUUUUCUCCGUUCUCACUCCGAUUUGACUCUCCGUCCGACCUUGCUCCGAUCUCCCUCUCCGCUCGAUCCUCUCUAUAAAUUGUUUCUGUUCAUUUUCUAUCCCUCUCGUGAUUUCUGCGUUGAUGGAGACCAGAUAUGCUGUUAUGGUUGCCCAUCAACAUAUAGGAAAUAACAUUACAUUACAAGUGGUACUUUCAGACGUGGUCGAAGCAUAUAUAAGAAAUAGCAUCAGAGUCACUUUGGUGGCCGGAGUGUGUGAAGCAUAGUGACUAAUUUUAGUUCAUUGGUUCAAAUGGUAAUGCAAUGCAGCCUUAAUGCAGUUGUGUAUGGGAGUAACUGUUGGAUCAGGGCAUACAUUCUUACCUUGUAAUUAUUUGCUCUAAGUUUUCAUGCUUUUCCAUGCCUUGGGCUUUCAUUGUCAGCUUCUUGAUGCCACAAAAAGCUAAAAUAAUCUAACAUUGUGGACAGUUGCAAAAAGCUUUUAUAACAGUGCCUCACCAACUAGUACCUUUGAAUUUUAUUUUUGGUGUUGUGCCUCUCAAUGCUUCGCUCCAAAUGGAUCUUGGGUUAGU